rnacentral:tRNA from 1 species
CUAAGGAUGGUUCUUCAGAAGCUUGCUUCUAUCGAACCGUUUUAGAAACAUCAGUGGCCAACGGUCGUCAGGAUCGUUGAGCUGCAUUGGCGGGAUUUCGCCGUCUUCGUUUCUCUUUCUUCGCGGACGAACACGCGCUGGGGCUGCAACCUUGCAGAAUCCCUGGUCCUUGACUGGAUAUGCGUUAGGGGCUUGUAGCUCAGUUGGUUAGAGCGCGCGCUUGAUAAGCGUGAGGUCGGAAGUUCAAGUCUUCCCAGGCCCACCACACUCAUCGAGUGAGCAUUCGUCUUCUGGUUACGGGGCCAUAGCUCAGCUGGGAGAGCGCGUGCUUUGCAAGCAUGAGGUCGUCGGUUCGAUCCCGUCUGGCUCCACCAGAUGGUUUGAUCACCGGCUACUCGUACCGUCGUCCGCGAAACAUCACUUCGCACUUACUAGUCCGGAUGGACAGUAAGCUGCGUGAUUUCUGACAUCGUAAAGAGGAGAUCGAUCCGAGUUGGAUCGGGCAACAAGUAAUUGUUGCGCGAUACUUCAUUAUCUCCGGAUCAUUUCGGCGCUCGUGCGUCUUCCAGGGUAGCUCACAAGGCUGCGUCUGAAGGACACGCGAGUUGUAAAUGAUCCUUUUAGCGAAGCUUGACCGCCUCGCUAUCGGAACGAUCUUACGAAGCAAGCUGGUCUUUCUAAUCAUUGUCCGGCUGCAGAUAGCGUUCAUCGAGGGCGCGUGCCUUAGAGACUUAGGUUUCUUGGCAAUUCUGCAGACAACAUUCUGCCGAGUGUGUGGACAUUGAUAAUGAGAGC